rnacentral:lncRNA from 1 species
UCAUCCAAGUGCUCGGGGCCUGAUAUUAUGGUGGAAGCGCCCAAAUUAACCUGACUAAAAUGCACUUAAGUCACCUGACACGCGAUCAUGCACUUUAAGCAAGUCAACUUGGUCGUCCGUUGGAUUUCAUCCAAUAAACAACUUACUCAGGAUCGAGAAGCAUUGCUCACAUGAAGGUGAGUAGGCACAGAGAUUACAACAUUCCCAUCACAUUAACA